CCUAAACAACGAUCUUACUUACACAAUAUUUUCCGCCAGAGAACUACAAGCGAAAAGCUAAAAACUCCAAGGACUUGGCGGUGCUUCAAACCAACCUAGAGGAGCCUGUCCUAUAAUCGAUACCCCCCGCUAAACCUUACCACCUUUAGCCAACCAGCCUAUAUACCGCCGUCGUCAGCCUACCUUAUGAAAGAAAUUAAAGUAAGCAGAACAGUUAGUAACUAACAAGUCAGGUCAAGGUGUAGCACAUGAGGUGGCAGAGAUGGGCUACAUUUUCCCACAUGAACACACGUACAAUAUGUUGAAAAACAUGUUUAAAGGUGGAUUUAGCAGUAAAAUAAGUAAGAAAACUUAUCUUAAACCCGCUCUGAAGCGCGCACACACCGCCCG
rnacentral:rRNA from 1 species